rnacentral:rRNA from 1 species
AGCGAACGCUGGCGGCAGGCCUAACACAUGCAAGUCGAACGGCUCUUCGGAGCAGUGGCGGACGGGUGAGUAACGCGUGGGAACGUGCCCUUUGGUUCGGAACAACACAGGGAAACUUGUGCUAAUACCGGAUGAGCCCUUCGGGGAAAGAUUAUCGCCAUUGGAGCGGCCCGCGUUGGAUUAGGUAGUUGGUGGGGUAAAGGCCCACCAAGCCGACGAUCCAUAGCUGGUCUGAGAGGAUGAUCAGCCACACUGGGACUGAGACACGGCCCAGACUCCUACGGGAGGCAGCAGUGGGGAAGUCUUGCGCAAUGGGCGAAAGCCUGACGCAGCCAUGCCGCGUGAAUGAUGAAGGUCUUAGGAUUGUAAAAUUCUUUCGUGGGGGGAAGAUAAUGACGGUACCCCAAGAAGAAGCCCCCGGCUAACUCCGUGCCAGCAGCCGCGGUAAU